UUGUUUUUUGUUUUUUUAAUAGAGUAUAUUUCCUUUUCCUUAUAAAAAGACAGUCUCACGGAAGUUUUUUUGAAACUCUGAUUUUACUCCAAGGCUGUAAAUGAAUAAUUUAUUAUUCUGCUCUUUUUAAACUCACUUUAAGGUAAAACCACCUCAGCUCAUCGAUUUUCUGCAACAGAAAAAAGCAGAAGGUUACACCGUCAUUGGUGUGGAACAGACUGCCAAGAGUAUAGACCUGACCCAGUAUAGCUUUCCGGAGAGAUCUCUGCUCUUGUUGGGAAAUGAACGUGAGGGAAUUCCAGCAAAUCUGAUCCAACAAUUGGAUGUUUGUGUGGAAAUUCCUCAGCAGGGCAUUAUCCGCUCACUUAACGUCCACGUGAGUGGGGCUCUGCUCAUUUGGGAAUAUAUGCGACAGCAGCCGCUCAGGCAUGGGGACACCGAGUCAUGAACUUUGUGCCUUAUCUGAGAUCAAUUAUCGGUGCUCUUGAAACCUUGUUUAAAACGAUGUGUACUAAUGAAAUCGAUUCUGAAAUUUACCGGGAUAAUUUGUAUUUCUUUUUCUUGCCAACUUAAUGCCAAAACUUUUUCACGUGCCUUAAAUAUAUUACUAUAUGUUGUCCCCUUGAAUAAAUAUUUUUAGCUAAA